rnacentral:sRNA from 1 species
AUUAUUAUUACCGCCAUUCCAGUCAUGGCGGGUUAGCCGACGCGUGCCACCCAACCCGCCCAAGAGGCGGGUUUU